UUUCAGCGUCCCGCGUGAGGGAUAGCAGCGGAUACCCCGCUGAAGCAUUUGUGCGGUGGGGUUUGUGGCGGAGUAUGAGCGGAUAGCCCGGCCCCGG
rnacentral:misc_RNA from 1 species